rnacentral:rRNA from 1 species
CAGUCGCCACGGUAAUACGGAGGGUGCAAGCGUUAAUCGGAAUUACUGGGCGUAAAGCGCGCGUAGGCGGUUACUCAAGUCAGAGGUGAAAGCCCGGGGCUCAACCCCGGAACUGCCUUUGAAACUAGGUGACUAGAAUCUUGGAGAGGUCAGUGGAAUUCCGAGUGUAGAGGUGAAAUUCGUAGAUAUUCGGAAGAACACCAGUGGCGAAGGCGACUGACUGGACAAGUAUUGACGCUGAGGUGCGAAAGCGUGGGGAGCAAACAGGAUUAGAUACCCCAGUAGUCCCUGUCUCUUAUAC